AGUUUGAGGAAGCUGUCCCAGGAUCCUGUGCAGACGCCCAUGCCGUCUUCGGGGACGCCGGUGCAGCUCACCCUGUUGUCAUGGCCAGACAGCACGCCUGGAGGAGGAGAGCAGAGGGUUACCGAACAAGGUUGGAAAAAAUUGAGUCCCAGAUGUGGCAGUUGAAGUCAUCAUAACCAGCAAAGAUAAGGCGGCCCGAGUUGGACAGGGCCAGAGACGUGACGCCGGCGUUCAGGCUGGAGUCCGUGUAGUCCAGCACCUCCUGGUCGGCGCGCAGGUCGUACAUCUUGCAGGAGCAGUCGUCAGAGCCUGUGAUGAUGGCAUUUCCACUGGGGAAGAACUGAAGGGCGGAGAAAAGAGCAGUUCAACUUUAACAUCUUACAAACUAAAUUUAUAUUUCACUGACUGCAAAAUUAACAAAUCCUCAGUGAGAAAUCUGAAUUUCCUCACAGCAAUGGCGUUGAUGUCACUGGUGUGUCCAGAGAAGGUCUGCUUGCAGGCUCCUUCCCUCACGUCCCACAGUUUGGCCAGAGAGUCGCAGGCUCCAGAGAUGAAGGUGUUCAUGUCAGGAGAAAGAGCCAGCGACAUGCAGUCUCCAAUGUGGUUGCAAUAUUGACUGAGCGUUUUCCAGCAGUUCCAAAGUAAUCAAACCCAAAGUACGGAGAAACCUACCAGGUGGUGUCACCGGAGGCCGUCAGGAUUUCAGUAUCACUAAGGAAACGGCAGCAGGACAGGUAACCUGUGCAGGUGAGGAAGACAUUUUUUUAAAUUUUUUUAAUUUCUUAAAAGUAGAUGAAGAAAUGCGAAGAGCAUAACUGACCUGUGUGUGCAUCCAGCUCCCUGAGGGUCUUUGGGCUGGCAGCCUUGAUGUUGUAGACUGUGCAGAUGUUAUCCAGACCACCGCUGGCCACCAGGUUCCCUGAAGGGGCGAAGGCGACACUCAUCACCCAGGCAGACUUGAGAGGGACGGCGACCAACUGAGGAGAAAAAUUCAAAUCUGCUGACCAGUGCAUGGCAUAAAUCUUCGCCAGGUGACCCUUCAGGUUCUUCCUGAGUUUCAGUUGGACCCGACCCACUGCAGCCACUCCACCUGCAGCCGAUGACAUGGUCCCAUCAUUCACUCCCUUACGAGCAGCCUGGAGGUCAAAAGGUCACAAAGAAUAUUUUAAGUUUUAUUUUUCAUUUCUCAAGAGAAACAUCUAAAAAAAAAACAAAAA